GUGCCAGCAGCCGCGGUAAUACGAAGGGGGCUAGCGUUGCUCGGAAUCACUGGGCGUAAAGGGCGCGUAGGCGGCUGAUUUAGUCGAGGGUGAAAGCCUGUGGCUCAACCACAGAAUUGCCUUCGAUACUGGUUGGCUUGAGACCGGAAGAGGACAGCGGAACUGCGAGUGUAGAGGUGAAAUUUCGUAGAUAUUCGCAAGACACCAGUGGCGAAGGAGGCUGUCUGGUUCCGGUCUGACGCUGAGGCGCGAAAGCGUGGGGAGCAAACAGGAUAGAUACCCUGGUAGUUC
rnacentral:rRNA from 1 species